rnacentral:rRNA from 1 species
AUGAGGCCGGAGACGCGGCUGGACUCGGCGGCCUUCCAGCUCACCCCCACCCGCACCAGGUGUGAUUUGAUUGUGAUAGCGAAUGGGAGGAAGGAGAAGAUCGCCUCCGGCCUGCUCAACCCCUUCGUCGCCCACCUCAAGGCCGCCCAGGACCAGAUUGCCAAGGGAGGCUACACCAUCCUGCUUGAGCCGGAUCCGGCGGCCGACGCGCCAUGGUUCACCAGGGGCACCGUCGAGAGGUUCGUCCGCUUCGUGAGCACGCCGGAGGUCCUGGAGCGGGUGACGACGAUAGAGUCCGAGAUACUGCAGCUCGAGGACGCCAUCGCCGUCCAGAGCAACGAAAAUCUUGGACUCAAAUCUGAAGAAGGCCAUAAUGGGAAACCCGUGGACUCGUCCAUGGAAGGUGGCAGGACAGGUUACAAUACUGAUGGUGAUAAGGCACUUGUUCUGUACAAGCCUGACGCACAUCCAGCAUCCGCACUGCAGAAUGACGACGGAGUACAUGAGGAGCAUUCAAAAGUUCAGCUUCUCAGAGUGCUGGAGACUCGCAAAACUGUCUUACGUAAAGAGCAGGCUAUGGCCUUUGCACGUGCUGUAGCUGCUGGGUUUGAUAUAGACAACCUGAUAUAUUUGAUCUCGUUCGCAGAGCGUUUUGGUGCUUCACGCUUGAUGAAGGCAUGCACACAGUUCAUUGAUUUGUGGAGGCAAAAACAUGAGACUGGACAGUGGAUUGACGUUGAACCCGAAACAAUGUCUACACGCUCUGAAUUUCCCCCCUUCAAUGCUUCUGGGAUUAUGUUCAUGGGAGAUAAGGAAACAAUGUCUGUCUCUAAUGGAGAUACAAAUGGGAUUAUGUUCAUGGGAGAUAAGGAAACAAUGUCUGUCUCUAAUGGAGAUACAAAUGGCGAAGAUGCUGCUAAAGCUGAUCACAGGGCACAUCACCACCCAGGAGCUCCCCAUGAGUACCAUCAUGGUCCAUAUCAAUCAGGAUAUCCACCAUGGGCAAUGCAUCCUCCUUACCCCAUGCAAGGCAUGCCACCAUACUACCCUGGGGCGAACCCAUAUUACCCUCCUCCCUAUCCCCCAGCAGAUGAUCCCAGGUACAACUACUCGGAAAGGAGACCAUCAAGGAAGCACUCAGCAGAUAGCAAGGACUUCGACAACUCCAAUGAUGAAAGUGACGAUCAAAGCGGUUCAGAGAGGGAGAGUUCUCAUGGCCGCAAGUCCAGUAAAAAAGGCAAGCGCUCGGGCAAGAAGAAUGUAAUUGUCAUACGCAAUGUAAAUGUAACAUCAAAGAAGAAGCAUAGGUCAUCAGAGAGCGAGUCACACUCAGGCUCAGAUAUGUCAUCAGAGGAUAGUGAUGAUUCACACAGAAAAUCAAGCAAGAGGAAUCAUAAGCGCUCGAGUUCGAAGAAAAAAGGGGGCAAGAAAACCAUUGAGUCUGAAGAUGAGUACACCAAGGAUGGAAUGUCUAAUGGGCAGCAAGAUGGAGAUCAAGGAAACUGGAAUGCGUUCCAAAACUUCUUGCUCAGAGAUGAAGAGAAGACAAGAGAUAAUAAUGACGCGGAUAUGUUCGCCAGUGAAAGGGAGCCACCACCACCACCUAGGAGGAGAGAGACCACAGGAAAUAUGGAUGAUCCUAUUCUUUUAUCCGAGCGGGGUUCUGCUGAUGCCGAUGAGCGAAAUGGAAUGCCUUUCAACACAGCCAAUGGGAGAAUUAGGGCCAGGCAGAUGAUGUCUGGUAAUGAACUUAUGAUGUCUGGGGAAGGUCGGAGCUUUGUGGAUGGUGACAUGAAGGAGAUAGAAGCCGGAGGUGGGGGAUACAGAAGAGGGGCAAAUGAUGACUUCAUGGUUUAUGGACAUGACAACUCAAUGGACAGGGGGAGCUCCUUGGACCCCCUUGCCGAGGGGCAUUACAAGAGACCCACUCUGGAGGAAAAGAAGAAUGUGCACGGUGUGGAUGAGUCCUUCAUGAUACCUGUUAGCUCCAACUCACAUGAUAACCUUGGAGCUGACGGCCGUACUGCCAUUGACAUAGAUGCUGAGCUUGGCACAAGUGUUCAGAAAACAUCGGAUGCCAAGGCUGGAGGUGAACUUUUCUAUGAGCCAGAUGAGUUGAUGCCAGAGCGUGGAUCUGAAGAUGUUUCAUUUGGAUAUGAUCCAUCAAUGGACUAUGAUAGCCACAUGCAGAUUCAUCCUGACGUCGGCGUUGAAGAUGCAAAUGCAGAGGAUUUAUCAGCUUGCGUCGAGGAUGAAGGAAAGAUGCCAGCAAAAGACAAGAAGCUUAGAGGUUCACAGGAGGGUUUGGAUAAAAGAAGGAAGGAUGCCUCAGCAAGGAGACUGUCAGCGCCCAAAGGCCCACUAACUGAUGCGCAGAAACGUGCACAAAACCUACGCGCGUAUAAAGCGGGCCUACAAAAGGAAAAGAAGGAGCUGGAAGCCGAACAGAUUAAACGGCUCGAAAGGCUUAAGCAAGAGAGGCAAAAGAGGAUCGCUGCAAGAAGUGGCGCAUCUAAUCCAACAUCAACAUCGCCGCAGGCUAAAGCAAAACCUUCUCCAAAGGUUUCUCCCAGUACCCACAAGAGUUCGAAGUUCACUGACGCUGAACCAGGAUCCUCUUCGCCUCUAAGAAAAAUUAUUCCUGCCAGAAGCAGUACCCCAGGGAGUGAUCCUCACAAAACAGCCAAAGCAAGCAAACUCGGCGGUGACAGCUCAAGUGCAGUGAGCAAGUCAACCUCAUCACUGGCUGAGAUCAAAAAGGAGAAAAGUGGCAGAACUGAAUCGUCGAUUGAGCGAUUGAAAAAGCUUGCUGAACCUAAAAGCAAUGCUUCGACUGACCAUCCUUCGAAUCCCAAGUCAGCGAGCGUGGAUCACCCACGGAGAAGAAGCUUGCCGUUGCCGGAAGAUGUGCAGACCAAGAAAAUCUCUGCUAUAAUGCAGCUCGACGAGACCAAGUCGGCAGCCCUACCAGAGCUGAAAGUCAAAUCCCCCCGAACCCCUGCCGCUGUCGUUGUGAAGAACAAGGCGGCGGCUAAAGUAGCAAAAGAGGCGCCACGUGGUGGACCUAAAGCACAUGCUACUUCAGAAAGUAGAGAUGGAAAGAAAUCUUCCAACGGUAAAGUUUCAAGGGUAAUCAGCAGUGAUGACAAUGUGGUGGUUGAGAAGACCGUCGUGAUGCUUGAAAACGAAGUGGUCUCUACGCCUCCUGUUGUUCUACCUCCUGGAAGAAGUGCAGAGAGCGAAACUCGCAGCGAUGACCGAAUGGACUAUCCCAGUCUGGAGCAGGAGUAUGUUGCCAUCAGGGCUCCACCUUCUCCCGUUGAUCUUCCUGAAGAUGCAAAUCCUACCAUCCAUGCAUCUGACAACCAGUUGAAUUCCUAUGAGGUGGAUGUGCCUGAGUACAAGAAGGAUGAGCUUGAGAAACCAGCCCCGCUGGCUCCAAUGGAGGAGAAGCCUUAUGAGGCCCCUUUUGCCAGGGUAACAUCAUUGGAGGAUGCUUCAAGCAAGACUCCUGCUUACAACCAGCACCCGUUACCUGCGCAGGAACCCGAGACACUUGCGCGUGCAGCGAGCGUGAGGGCACGCGUACCUGAGCCUGCUGCAUAUGCAGUCUCAGCCGAGGAGACACAUGGAGAAAAUGGCAAGCCUCGAAGCAAAGAACCGAAAGGCUUCAGGAAACUGCUGAAAUUCGGCAAGAAGAGCCACACUUCAACGAUGGAUUCUGAUGCAUCGUCAGUCGACGAAGCCCCUGCAGGAGAUGGUUCGAUGCUGAAAAACCUCAUUUCACAAGACGACUCUGCAGGCUCUUCUUACAAAGCUUCUCGGUCCUUCUCCCUGCUGGCGCCAUUCCGCAAGAACAAGGUCGUGCUGUGA